rnacentral:rRNA from 1 species
CUUUACUGUAGCUUUACAUUGGACUUUGAACAGAUCUGUGUAGGAUAGGUGGGAGGCUUUGGAGCGGUGCCGCUAGGUGUCGUGGAGCCAACCUUGAAAUACCACCCUGGUGUGUUUGAGGUUCUAACCUUGGCCCGUUAUCCGGGUUGGGGACAGUGUUUGGUGGGCAGUUUGACUGGGGCGGUCUCCUCCCAAAGUGUAACGGAGGAGUUCGAAGGUACGCUAAAUACGGUCGGAAAUCGUGUUGAUAGUGCAUUGGCAUAAGCGUGCUUGACUGCGAGACUGACAAGUCGAGCAGGUACGAAAGUAGGACAAAGUGAUCCGGUGGUUCUGUAUGGAAGGGCCAUCGCUCAACGGAUAAAAGGUA